GUACAUCGAGUUCUGCGUGUACAUUGGCGACGAGGAUUAUCUGAAUAAGCUAUUUUACGAGACGUUCUACCGGUGGGCCGGUCAUUGUUAUUGUUUACAUUUGAUGUUUUUGUUUUCGCGAAAAGAAGCAUAACAUGUGGUGAGCGCCAAUCAGAUUUUUGCUGGCAGAAAUGUUUUGGUUUCUAAUGAGGCAUGUAUCAAUUCCCCGAGCUGCAUGAUGUCACUAGCAGAUGAAAAAAACAUCCCCACGGUCUAAGGAUAUUAAUUAUAGUGGGCGGAUUGACGCAUUUCUGCAGAUAAAUGAACCUGGUUUAUUGGAUGGGCCUAUAUCACAUGUUAUGCUAGCGAAAAUGUAAAUAAAUGGGCCCACCGGUUGGACUUCAAAACCGGUAAACAUUCAAAAAACAGCUGAUUUGAAACGUCUCAUAAAAUGCCUUAUUGCAUGCAGAGAUUCGAGGAGAAGAAGAAAUUGGUCAGUAAUGAACGAGCACCGUUAACCGGACACCACUCCCAGAAGCCCAGACGAGGAAAGGUCGUUAAAUCAUUGACAAGAGAGGAGUCAUUGUGAAGUUGAGGAGAAGCAGAUAUUAAACUGGCGUGUGGAUAAGUCGAUCGUUUCCGGAGGUUUUAAUUGGAUUGAAUAUUAAGAGGUAUAUGAUGCACAACUUCGCUGUUUCCAGGUACAAUAAUCAUCCUUACAACUUUUGGUCGCAGCAGCCAAUAAAAAAUACAUUUGUGAAAUAACGGACUAUGAAGUGGUCAUUCAAUGAACAAAGAUAAACAAGGAGACUAUUGGAGAAUAUUGGAUGACGUUACUCGAGGACGGUAUGUUGGAUUACACAACUUAUGGACGGCCAAUUGGAUCAAACAAUUUCCAUUGAAGAUGUGAACAUCAGACCAUUCAAAGUUUAUGUUUUAUAUAUAAAGAAGAAGAAAUCUCAAGUCACUAUGAGUAGAUUUUCAGAAUUAUAAACAGUUAAAUAUUUGCUUAAAUAUUGGAAAAAAAGGAGAGAUGUAGUAUAGUGUACCAAUUGAAAUUAGAGUAGGCUGUGCCUGAGAUUGACAGGCCUGAUGAUGAGAAUAAAGAUUAUUGUUGUUUGGCACUCCAAAGAGUAUAGUUGCAUUACUACACAUACGACGAGCGAGGUUUUUUAGUAGUGUUGUAUUUUUUACAACAGCGCGCGCGCUGAAGGGUUAAAUUAAGAAAAAUGUAUCGAUUUUUUGAUUUUAUACGAAAGAGCACCUUUUCCAAUAGAGUUAAUAAACUAUAGAGGAAGAAUGUCGCUGGCGUCGCCGCCGCAACAUCUCUUGCUGGCGGAGAUAGGGAGGGAUAUAAGUGUCAAAGCGAAAAAUUAUGCAGUUUGACAGAUAGAUACCCGGCAUGUUUGCGAACGAGAACAAAGGGAACAGCAGCGACAUUCGUCCUCUAUAGUUUAUUAACUCUAUUCCUUUUGCUGAGCCACUAUGAUUUUUUGCUGAUUUCGGCACCAAUAUUUCAAAAGGGCGUAACUGCUUUUGCAACCAAUGCCUUCUCACAGAGCUGUGGGUUGUAUUUCAUUCAUCUCAUGCAAUUCACAUCCAUUAAUCAAAAGAGGAGGAUUUUAUCUUUCUAUUUGUGCUAGUGGAUUGCUCGAGAGGGAUGGGAUACGCUCCACAGCUUUGUGAGAAGGCAUUGGUUGUAAAUGCAGUUACGCCCUUUUGAAAUGUUGGUGCCGAUUUUUAGAACGUUAUUUUGGUACCUAAAAUCAAUUUCAAAGUGAUUUUUCAAAAUCACCUUUUGACAGCUGGGUAACUAUUUGACAGCUCCACCCAGUACAAAAUGCGACGAGGGGUGAUUCGACAAACCGCUCCCAUACAAACUUCAAAUCAAUUUUUAAACAGGUUCCCGGGCACCAAAAUUCAUGAAAAUUUGGAUUUCGGCUCAGUUUGGCAUGCAGAUUCAGAAUAUGGAAUUAUCUCAACAACGCUAAGGAAGCCAAUUGAAAAAAAAUGACCGAAAAUGGACAGCAUUAUGGAUACCACGAUGGCGCACGAAACCAUACAGCUCGCCGGUGUCGUAUACGGGCCUAUAGGUGGCAGGGCAAACCGUCCCACGACUCCCGUAGCGAUGUUCAUUGCACGGACUAUAUAAUGCAAAGCACAUUGUCAAGUCACUCAUAGGGCUUAUUUUGAUUUUGCAAAGAAUUUUGACAUUUC